GCGAAUUUUCUUUGUAAUAAAUGAGUGAAUUUAAUUUUUUCAGACCCUCCUAUUAAAUCCAUAAAGACAAACAAAGCCUCCAUAAAGUCUAAAGACACACACAUAUACAUAACAUAACCCUUUUCUGAGGAAGAGAGAAGAUAAUUCUCUAAAUCCAACCAGGGUUUCAUGGAGUGCAACAAUAAGAAUCUAUAAUAAUACACUCUUCCUUUCAACAUUUUACCUUUCUUUUCCCUCUCCCUCAGUAUUUUUGUGCCCAUUCAUUAAAUCCUAGCCACAGAUAAACUCCUCCUUCCUCCACCAUGCCCUUGUCUUCUUCCGGCGCUUCUUCCGGCUCUUCUUCCGUUCCUUCACUUACGGCUCAUGUUCCCUUUCCUUCUCAUACUCCCGGUGGGCAUGUAAUGUACAAAAAUCGUUUGCAAGAGUUUACAUCAAGGUCAGGCAAUGGAUUUCCUGUGUAUCAAACCAUCAAUGAGGGACUGCAGCAUAUUCCAAAGUUUAGGUCGACUGUGCGGGUGGCUGGGAUUGAUUACACUUCCAAAUCUACAUUUUCCCAGAAAAAAGCUGCCGAACAGGAUGUAGCUAGACUUGCUCUAGAAGCUAUCCUUGAGAAGACCAGAGAAGAAGGACCCUCUCUUGUUAAUGAGUAAUACCUUUCAACAGUUAAGACACCAAACAUUGCUAUAAUUGAGAAUCUUAGUUUUCAGCAGGACUGCACUUCCUAUGAACCAAGCACCUCCUUGCACUUCAGUUCCUUGAACCAGGUUCUGAUGCAGAAAAAACCGUGGAUCUGUGUUAAAAUUCACCGAUGUUGUUAAAAUUUUAUUCAUGUGACCUCUCUGUUUUAUUAGGCCCUUUUGGUACUUGUUUUGCCUUCAAACUUUUGUUGAAAAAGCACAGGUUUACUCUCCUGGGGCUGUUUAACAAUCUUCUCCCGCUUACCUGUCUUGACUAGAAGGUAAUUUUAAUAAUUUUCGUAGGACCGUCUAAAAUAUAUUUUGUAUUCUGAAA